CAACCAGCCUGGAGUCCCGCCCCUACCUCAGCCCCGCAUCCAGUCCGGGAGUGCCGCCCCCGCUCCGAGCCCUGCGUCCAGUCCCCGAGUCCCGCCUCCGCACAGAGCCCCGCGUACAGUUCCCGAGCCCCGCGCCGCCUUGGAGACACACGCGCUCUUUACUUCUCUCUUCUCCAGCAACCAGAGGUCGCGUCCUCCUGGCUCCACCAGUGUGUAUCCCUAAGAGCUGGAAGACAGACUGACCUGCAGAAGGAGCAAAAUUGAUGAAUCAUCUGACCGAAGAUGGCUUGCUGCUUGACAUUCUUUGUUGAACCAGGAAGCAGACAGGUACUCUACUUGCUUCUUGCUCAGAUUAUGGUCAUUUUAUAUAGUCUAUUGUUCUCUGUACAGAUUUUCAAACUUUUAUUUAUACAUGCUAAGCAUAAUGCUUUUGAACUGUGGUGUU